UGGGCGCGUAUGGAGUUAUUGAUAAUCAU
rnacentral:piRNA from 1 species